rnacentral:miRNA from 1 species
GUGUAUGUGUGUGUAUGUAUGUGUAUAUUUAGAUGUAUAUGCUUGUGCAUGUGUAUGUGUGUAUAUGUAUA